CUUAGAAUGUCACCAGCCGGAGGGACAUCGCCAGAAGAACCUCUGUCACUUUUCAGGCCCCGACCGAGUCACAGAGAGGUUCCCACCAGACGUCCAAGAGGAUACAUCAAACAGACAGUUAGACAAAGAAGUCUGGAGUCUGAGAGAACUAGAGACUAAAUCUGAGACACUCCUGAGGACUGGGAAGAAGAGAAAGAUACACGGGAGCUGGGAAGAGCGCUUGCACUGAGAUAGGAGAGUACCUCAGCCACACUCGCUGGUGGAAACCACCCCUGGAAGGAAGCAGAUGUAGGAUGAAGACAUGCCAAGAUGACUUCAGCUUUUUGGUGCUUUCCCAGGCUCCUUCCUCCAUGGAGUGGCCCAUCUAAAAAUCUUUGUACAAGGAUCCAUGGUGUCGUGACUCAGGACAGAGCAACGGACUGGGAUUCUGGACUUUCUUGCUGCCUUUCUCUGGACAGUAGUUUGAGAACAUUUAAGAUCUCUAGGCUGAUUGCUGGGGAAGCUAGAAAUGGUCUUAUACUGCCACCUGCUGGCAAGUGUAGGCUUUAUCUGGUCUCUACUGGGAGAAGCUUUCUAGGGGUACUGCUCAAAUGACUGUUUGAUGACCCCUGUGGUCCAAAACAACUCUUCUAAGUCUGCUCUCAGUGCCUGGCAUUUCUCCUUCUUUGAGGAUUGCCUCUUUCCAUGACAGAGGAAAAGAGUUUCUCACCACUUGUCACAGAGCAGAUUACUUUCUGCUACAGGGUCUCAGCCAGGUGAGGAUGCUUAGUUGAAAAGGUCAUUUAGAGGGUGGAGAGGAGAAGCUGUGUGCCUAUCAGAGGUUGGCUUAAAUGUUACGGAACUGGCUGGCUUGCUGGCCCAGUGGUAGCAAACUGCUCAAAUGAUGCUGGAUCCAUAUGGAAGCUCACAGCUCGGUGCCGCCAUGAUCCUGGCUGGCUGG